GAGCGGGCAGAGGAUCCUCCUGCUGCGGCUGCCGGAGUUGCUGGUCUGGAAAGAAGCUGGCAAAGAGGUGAAAUGUCUUCUCCUCUUGGUUGGCUUUCUGCUCUCUGAGAACCACCUCUGCCUUUGACUAGGCUGCUGCAGAGCUGAUGGCUUCAUCCAGGCCUCCUCCAUCUGGUGGCUUUGCAACUCUGAUGACAUAAAGAAGUAAAGAGAGCUGAGGCUGUGGCCCCUGUCAUGAAGAAAGAUCUCUACAAUAAAUUUGGAGUCUCUGCUUCCACCUCGAGCCAGAUCUCUCAACCUCGUCCCUCAGGCUCCAAAGACCUCUGGACUAAUCCACUAAUCCUCCCAGCCUCACCAAUUAUUGCAAGUCCAUUAUCUGCCAUCUCGGGCUGUGGUCUGCUGGAGAGCCUCUGACCUCGGGGGGCCAGGCAGAGACACAGAUUGUCCUGCAGCAUUUGGUGUCUCCCUCUCUGAGCUCUUCACUGAUUCCUGCCACAGAACCACCUCCUCCUUUCAGAUUGCAGCUCUUCUCCUCGCAUCUUGAGGUUGCUGGGUGUUUGUGAUGAGCAACCCCAC